CCAUUUCCCGGCAGCGCCGGGCGCGGGGCGGAGCGGCGAUGGCGGAGCGGGGCCGCGGCUGGGCCCGGGCCGUGAGGGGGCUGCUGCUCGAUGUCAGCGGGGUCCUGUACGACAGCGGCGCCGGCGGCGGCGUCCCCAUCGCCGGCUCGGCCGAGGCCGUGCGCAGGAUCAAAGCCUCUGGGCUGAAGCUGCAGCUCUGCACCAACGAGACGCAGGCGACGCGGGAGAAUUUUGUGCGGAAGCUGCGGGCCAUGGGCUUCGACAUCUCGGCGGCCCAAGUGACGGCGCCGGCGCCGGCCGCCUGCCGCCUCCUGAGGGAGCGCGGCCUGAGGCCACACCUGCUGGUGCACGAUGAUCUUGUCCCUGAAUUUGCUGAGAUCAAUAAGACAAACCCAAACUGUGUGGUUCUUGGAGAUGCAGCAGAAAACUUCACCUAUGCAAACCUGAACGAGGCUUUCCGACUUCUGAUUGGGAUGGAGAAGCCUGUUUUGAUCUCCCUUGGAAAAGGACGCUACUAUAAAGAAACUGAUGGUCUGAAACUUGAUGUUGGAGCAUAUAUGAAGGCAUUAGAGUAUGCUUGUGAUGUGCAGGCUGAGGUGGUGGGGAAACCAGCAAAAACGUUUUUUGAGUCAGCCCUGGCAGAACUGGGAGUUCCACCAGAGCAGGCCAUCAUGAUCGGGGAUGACAUCGUGAAUGAUGUUGGGGGAGCGCAGCAGUGUGGGAUGAGAGCGCUGCAGGUGCGGACGGGCAAGUACAGGGAGUUGUGGUGAACACUGAACCCUGCACAGAUUCAGGAAGAGGCAAGAUUAAGGCUUUGUUAAAGCAGGAUAAAUGCAUUAGAGUUCCACUGAAAACAGAGGAGGCCGUCCGAUGAAAACCACCCCGAGGUGAAGCCUGAUGCCUACGUGAACAACCUGGCUGAGGCUGUGGACAUCAUCCUCCAGGAGCUGUAAAUCCCAGCAGGAGCAGGGAUGAGCCCUCACCUGCAGCCCCUCCAUGGAACCACUUCAUCCUCUCCCACCUCCAUCGCACCUGAAUGAACCCAGCCCAGCCUUGUGCAGGGUGGUGGGCACCCACCUUCCAAAAUAUUUCACCUGAUGGUACUAAAAUGUUCUGCUGACCUCUCAUCCAUGGAGCACCAAACCUGCUGUCCUCUGGAAAGCCUUGAAUGUCCUUGAAUGGUGCCUGUGAGGGCCUCAGCCUCUGGGUGAUGCUGGGGGGCUUUCCCCCUUUUUAUCUUUGCUCACACUGGGGACCCAGCCUGAGGUGGGAAACAGGGAACCCAGGCACCCCAUCAUGAAUGGAUUUACCUGUUUAACCCCCAUGUCCUGUGCCUUUUGGGGAGCCUGAGUGGCAUGGGGCAUGUCCCUGGGGGCUGAUGGAGGCCACCAAGCUCCUGUGCCUCGGGUGGCACAAAGGCCCUGGGGAGGGGGACAGCCCCACGUGCCUUGGCAAGGCAGGAACUGUGGUUCUGCCAGGAUCAGCCCAUCUGGAGCAGCCCCAUGAAUCAGUAACACAUUAGGGAAUAACAGCACCAUCCUGUCUGGAAUAAACCCUGUCCUUUGGAUCUGGCCUGUUUUGUCAUCGUGUUCAGUUGGAUCAGCACUGGCAGGGGUGUUUACAGGACCUGAAAUGCUUUUCCCCAACUGGAAAAGCUGGAAAAGGCCAUGGGACUGAUGGUCUUUGCCUUCUCUCUGUGAGGGGGUCUUGUGAGCAGCCUGUGUGUGGGGGGGUGUGGGUUUCCUGAUUAAAAUCCUGGAUGUGCAGUCCCUGAGCUGUUGGGGCCGAGUCAGACACAGCUCCAGCUGAAAAUGGACUUUUCACAAGGGCAUGUAUUGAUAGAACAAGGGGGAAUAGCUUCAAAAGGUUUAGAUUGGAUUUUGGGAAGAAAUUGCUCCCUGUGAGGGUGGGGAGACCCUGGCACAGUUUGCCCAGAGAAGCUGUGGCUGCUUCACUCCUGGAAGUGCCCAAGGCCAGGUAGGAUGGGGCUGGGAGCAGCCUGGGACAGUGGAAGGUGUCCCUGCCCAUGGCAGGGAUGGAGCAGGAUGAGCUUUAAGGUCCCUUCAGCCCAAACUAUUGUGGGAUUCCAGGAUUCUGUGCUCACUGAACCUCCCCAUGUGCCUGCUGAGAAUCUGCUGGAGUUUCAGCUCCAGCUGAGCCCCCUCCUGCUGCCAGGAGUGCUCAGCACAUCCAGGGCCAGGACAGGCAUGAGAUUUGCCUUUUUCCUGCUAAUCAGAAUAAGGAUUUCUGAAAGGAGCUGCUCCCUGCCUCCAGGCACUGCAGCCCUUCCCCAGGGAUUUUGGUUUCUCUGUCAGUUUUGCAGUGCAGCUGUUGCAGCAUGUGUGGUAACACCUGACCAUGCUGCACCUGGCAAGAGCAUGGAAGGGGCUCAAAAUGGGUCAAAAAAUGAAAAGAUUAGGGGUUGUUCCUGCAGGUCCUCUUCCCACCCUCACUUGACACAUGGCAGUGUUUGCAAGGGUCACCUUUUAGAGGCUAAAGUCCCCUUUUAAUCAACAUACCAGCAGCUCUUUACCCCCUUGGGCUUUGGGCAAGACUUUAGGCUUUAACCUGCUUCAGUUCUCCAGGGGACCAUGGAAAUCAUGUAAUUAUGUUUGUGUUACACAUAUUUAAUAUAUAUCCAUACUCUCAGGCAGCAUUUGCUGGCCACUACAUUCAGCCACUGCUCUCUGCAUCUGCAAGCAGGAGGUAAAGGAUAAUUCAAGCUGCUUCCAGCAGUCCCAACAGCUGAACUCGACCCCAGUGACUGAAGGACACCAAAAUGAUGCUCUGUGUUUCUGGAGUUUUGGAACACUUGUUUUUCAGAGCUACCAGCUGGCCCUGGAGCUGAAUAGCACCCCUUGGGGACAGCAGGGGAAAGGGGGCUGGGAAUUAAGUUCUAAUAAAAUAAACUACAUCUGA